ACUAAAGGAACGUUCGCUAACGCACGUACGUCCUGUACGUAACGUGAAAGCCAUCACAUCCUGUGAA
rnacentral:sRNA from 1 species